rnacentral:rRNA from 1 species
UACGGGGGGGGCAAGCGUUGUUCGGAAUUACUGGGCGUAAAGGGCUCGUAGGUGGCCAACUAAGUCAGACGUGAAAUCCCUCAGCUUAACUGGGGAACUGCGUCUGAUACUGGAUGGCUUGAGUUUGGGAGAGGGAUGCGGAAUUCCAGGUGUAGCGGUGAAAUGCGUAGAUAUCAGGAGGAACACCGGUGGCGAAGGCGGCUAUCUGGACAGAGUCUGACGCUGAGGCGCGAAAGCUAGGGGAGCAAACAGG